UACAGAGGAUGCAAGCGUUAUCCGGAAUGAUUGGGCGUAAAGCGUCUGUAGGUGGCUUUUUAAGUCCGCCGUCAAAUCCCAGGGCUCAACUCUGGACAGGCGGUGGAAACUACCAAGCUGGAGUACGGUAGGGGCAGAGGGAAUUUCCGGUGGAGCGGUGAAAUGCGCAGAUAUCAGGAGGAACACCUAUUGCGAAGGCAGCUCGCUGGGACGUUACUGACGCUGAGACGCGAAAGCGUGGGGAGCAAACAGG
rnacentral:rRNA from 1 species